GGAGAGGUGCAGGAGUGGUUUAACUGGCACGCCUGGAGAGCGUGUGUGCGGGAAACCGUACCGUGGGUUCGAAUCCCACCCUCUCCGCUA
rnacentral:tRNA from 1 species